rnacentral:tRNA from 1 species
UGUAAUUUAGUGUAUGAAGCACUAUGAUUUUUGAUGUCAUUAGAUUAAGUUUAAAUCUUAAAUUUACAA